GCAACGGCACUGAAGAGCAUCGCUAUGCCCCAUUACCCAGCUACUACAGGCAGCUGGGAUUCGCUACAGAUGGGGCAUACCAUGAAUGCUGUGUGCCUACUGAGAGGGCAAGGAUCACAGACUGGAAGACAACGCCGGCGUACCUGGCUUUUUUCAAGCCCUCGGUCUACCUGACCAACCAGCUUCGGAAACUGCUCUUACGUCCUCCUCACAAUGGGACAUAGGUUAGUCACAGGAGUGGGAGGAUGCAUUAAACAAGCUGGGUCUGGUGUUCAGUUUAGGCUUGUACCGGUGGGUGAGCUAAGUAUUUA